AUGUUCAGAAGAGAUUUAAUUGGACCCAGACUCCAAUCAUGGUACAUCCUGCUCCAACUGUUGUCCACAGUGCAUUUGUCAUAUGGGUCUGAUGUAUUUCGAUGGAAUCUACAUGGGAAUGAGCAAUUCUCAGUGGAAUCUAUGUAUAGAGCAUUAAUCCAGUCUAAUGUGCCAAAUGAUAAUAAUAAGAAGAUCUAAAAGAUAAAGAUACCUCUUAAGAAUAAAAUAUUUGCACGGUAUCUUCGUCGCGGAGUCAUUCUGACUAAAGAUAACCUUAUCAAGAGGAAAUGGCAUGGAAGUCCGCAAUGUAUUUUUUGUCAUCACAAUGAGACAAUAAAACAUUUAUUCUUCCAAUGCAAAUUGGCUCGAUCUAUAUGGUCAGUCAUCCAGAUAACUUCUGGCUUGUAUCUUCUUUGUAGUGUUGCUAAUGUAUUUGGCAACUGGUUAUAUGAGAUUGAUCACAGGUGUAGAACUCUUCUUAGGAUGGGAGCGCUUGCUGUUAUUUGGUCGCUUUGGCUAUGUAGGAAUGAUAAGGGUUUUAACGAUAAAAGUACUUCUUUAAUACAGAUUAUCUACACAUGUACCGGGACUCUUCGUUUAUGGUUCUCUCUACAACGCGUGGAGAAUCAAGACCUAUUUUUGGAGAUGUGUACACGAUUAGAGGAUGCGGCGAGGGAUACUUUUACCCAACAUGGAUGGCAGCAUGAUCUUAGGAUUGACCCACCUUCACUUUAG
rnacentral:rRNA from 1 species